rnacentral:rRNA from 1 species
UCGAGCGAGGCGAUUUUGAGGAAGUUUUCGGAUGGAAUCGAAAUUGACUUAGCGGCGGACGGGUGAGUAACACGUGGGUAAUCUGCCUUAUACAGGGGGAUAACAGUUAGAAAUGACUGCUAAUACCGCAUAAGCGCACGGGAACGCAUGUUUCUGUGUGAAAAACUCCGGUAGUAUAAGAUGAGCCCGCGUCUGAUUAGCUGGUUGGUGGGGUAACGGCCUACCAAGGCGACGAUCAGUAGCCGGCCUGAGAGGGUGAACGGCCACAUUGGGACUGAGACACGGCCCAAACUCCUACGGGAGGCAGCAGUGGGGAAUAUUGCACAAUGGGGGAAACCCUGAUGCAGCGACGCCGCGUGAGUGAAGAAGUAUUUCGGUAUGUAAAGCUCUAUCAGCAGGGAAGAAAAAAGACGGUACUUGACUAGGAAGCCCCGGCUAACUACGUGCCAGCAGCCGCGGUAAUACGUAGGGGGCAAGCGUUAUCCGGAUUUACUGGGUGUAAAGGGAGCGUAGACGGCGCGGCAAGUCUGAAGUGAAAGGCAGGGGCUUAACCCCUGAACUGCUUUGGAAACUGCCAUGCUAGAGUGCUGGAGAGGUAAGUGGAAUUCCUAGUGUAGCGGUGAAAUGCGUAGAUAUUAGGAGGAACACCAGUGGCGAAGGCGGCUUACUGGACAGUAACUGACGUUGAGGCUCGAAAGCGUGGGGAGCAAACAGGAUUAGAUACCCUGGUAGUCCACGCUGUAAACGAUGAAUACUAGGUGUUGGUGGGCAAAGCCCAUCGGUGCCGCCGCAAACGCAAUAAGUAUUCCACCUGGGGAGUACGUUCGCAAGAAUGAAACUCAAAGGAAUUGACGGGGACCCGCACAAGCGGUGGAGCAUGUGGUUUAAUUCGA